GCAGAAAACAAACCUGGGUGUCCUUCACCAGUUAAAGGAGAUGUAAACAGAUGUGUUUCCUGAGCCCUGAAGCUUCUAAGUUUGCACCGACUCGGCACUGUUUGGCCAGAGCUCCUUGGGAUUGCUGGCUAAGUGUAGAUGCCUGGGCCACAAGAGAUGGGAAUGGUGACCCUUGUCCUCCUCAUACAUGAAUAAUCAUGCCUGGGAGCUCAAAAUAACACUCAAGAAGGGCAGUAAAAACACUAAUAGGUCCGUGAAAGAACAUCAUUUUCUUGGGGGCAGCUUAUAUACUGUGCUAUUUGCAAAAGUAACUAAUUCGCCAACCAACUAGCUCACUGAUCAACAAGGUAAUUAACCAACUAACUAACCACCUAACCAACCAACCCAACAAAUAUCCAACUAAUCAACUGCUGACUUUCACCUGAGCAGAGCCAGGGUGCAGGAAAGAUGGCUUGCAAACAUCCUCUUCCGUGGACAGAGGACAGAGGCUGAAAUAAAGCUGCCAAUCCUGGAGCUGCAGCUCUAGGCUCCAAGUAUGAACCAUGAUUACACUUGGCCAGCUGGGAAGGUCCGACGGCCAGGCUUUGUCCCUUGGAGGGGACCAUUUCCAACUGCCUUUUCCUUAAACUUGGAUGGCCGAGCAGCAUCCCUGGAGUGGUUCUGACACAAAUCUGUAACUUGCCGGGCACAGGCGACUGCAGUUUCACGUGGCCGUGCCAAGUGUGGUGAGAGGCCCCGUGUGCACUUUCAGUCACAUGAUCUGAUGACUCAGGCCCAUUCUGGUUCCUGCUUGCCAGAGUAUGGGAACUGGGAGGAAAGUGAGAAAUGGCUUUGCUAUGGUUCUCUGGGAGGGUCCAGGGUUGGGCAACGCCCUGUUGCUAUAUGGGCUCCCCUGAAUCCUGUUAUCUAAGCAUGAGUGUAAUAAAGUUAUCAUGUAGUCACAGAAUUGCCAUUUUCAGAGGAUGUUUCCUGAGUUCCUGUGUUUUAUCCCCUGUCUCCAACAGGAGCAAGCCAAAAUCAUCCGGAAAGGAAAAAAAAAAAUCAACGUUUUACCACUUCCUUUAAUGAAAUAGCUUGGUAUUUUACCUCCCCAUCCAGAAAUGUUUUCUGUGCUGUCUGACCUGAAUCCACCCUGACACAUUUCACUGUGAUUCUUCUCACUCCGGUAGACAGAGUGGAAAAUUCAUUCCACAGCAGUAGGAAUGUCUAACCCAGAAAGAAGAUGCUAAUUCUGACUUUAUUUCCUCUCCUUUGCCACUUUAUAGGCUUUUGUUCUUUCAAAUUGGAUUUUUUAUUUUUUUAUUUUUAUUUUUUGGUCUUAAGCAUUGAACCCAGGGCCUUUGCACUGAGUUACAUCCCCAGCCCUUUUUUAUUUUUUAAUUUUGUGACAGGGUCUCAUUAACUCUCUAAGUAGCCGAGGAUGAUCUCAGACUUGGAAUCCUCCUACUCAGCUCUCAGAUUAGCUUUGAAAAGUUGCUUCUUUAAGGAAUCUUUCACUGUUAAGCCCCUCCUUUCCACAGAAGAGCCAAGAGCACACGCAGAGUUUCUCUCAUGCACAUGCUCUUGUGGACAUGCUAUUUUAAAAAUUCUUUGAAUCCUUUUCAGGGCACAGUGCUCUGUAUUUCCAGGUGGGAUGGAUUCUCUUUAAUUCAAAUAGGGAGUCCAGAAAAGUGCUGUGGGCUUGGAGUCAGAAGUCAGGGAUUUGUUGUUCAACAGCUGUUAAUUGAGGCAGCGUCUCCGAGUUGAGAGGCUCAGUUUACAGAAUUUUCUGGAAAACAGAAAAUGAGGCUUUCACUCUAGGGGUCACUUCUUGGGGACAAAUAAAGAAAUGCAUAUAAAAGAACUUAAAAUAAUUGUUGCCACUUAAUAGACCCGUAGAUACCAACUUACACACCUUAAGGACAGAACCUCUAAGUUCUAUCUCUCCGGUUUUUCUUGAUAUGGCCUCGCAAUGCUGCUCUGUGAGCUUGAUGACUACUGUGGUCUGACCGUCUGUCGGGAGCUGAAGACCUGGAAUUUGGAAAGGCCUUUGAGCCAUUCUGUGGUACACAGGGAGAAGUCCAGACUAAGAAUCGGGACUCUGGGAGGUCAAAGGGGAUGGGAGAAAAGGAUGCUGUGUAUUUCUCUGAGCCAGGGAACCAGGUAAGACAGAAUCUGUGGAAUAAGCAAUAGGGGUAAGCAGAAAAACACAGUUUUAGUCCUAAGAGAUCAUGUCUGGUGCAGGCACAUGCAAGACAAAGUGCCGGUGAUGUUCCUAUUGAAAAAAAUCUGUCCCCUGUAAUUGCACUUGCUCUUAGAGUUCACCUUUGCACUGUCUUCUCUAUAUUACUCUGUCACUUCAACAAGUCACUGUUUCUGGGGUGGGGGUGGGGGUUUCUUUGUCCAGUUGCUCAUUUUGAUUUUCUAGGAGGACCAGAUGUUAUUGCUGCUGAAAUAAUUUCUUUUACCCCCCAAAUACAGGACCUUUCCUUUGCCUGGUUCCUUGGCAUUCUCUUUGCCCCUGGGCCAGAGGUGCUUAAGAUAGCUGGGGCCAUGCUCAAGUGAGUGCUGGUGAUAAGUGUUGACCUGGAUCCAGUGUGACUUGAGGGUGCAGUGGGCAGGGAUGACUCAGGCUGAGGAAACUACUCCUCAAGGGCUCUAGGGAGGGAAAGAGUGUGGAGUGGGGCAUGGGCUUGCAGCCUUGGCAUAAGCUAAGCCUGGGUUGAUGGAGGACAGGGAGCAGUAUGUUUACAGAGGGUGAGGCUCCCUCUUUCUCACCAUGCCAAGUGACUGGAGAAAUGAGGGAGGGUCGGCAGUGGAAGGUCACUUCCACUGCUCAUCUCAUUCUUGAGGCAAAGCAGCCCAAUAUGAGAUGCUCAUUUAUUUUUCUACCACCACUGAUUGAAUCCCUGGUGGUAAAUAAAGGCCUGUGUGUGUGAUAAUUUUUGUUUUGUGCCACAAAAAUAGAGCUAAAUUUAACACAUCCCUCUGUUUAGAGCACACUGUCCUUAGUGAGUUGUGUAAGGGCAUAUUCUGGCUCAUUUUGGUCUUUGCCAUUUGCCUUUCAUCCUUGAUUUCUACUGCCAUUCCCUUUGUUCCUUUUGCUGAUGCCCACACUCAUCCCUGAUGCACAUGGUGCACUAAUGAUGGGACAGCAGGUCUCUAUACAUGUGCCCCAUGGGGGAAUGGCUGGGCUACAGGGAAUAAGAAUACCUAAGUUCACCAAAGACUUCCUCUUUGUUGUCCAAAAUGGCAGUGCUGAUAAAAUAUUGUUUCAACAUCGCAUGAGUGAGCCUAUUUAUUUCCCUGAUUUUUCCCUAGCACUUUGUGUUACUUGGUUUUUGAA